rnacentral:rRNA from 1 species
GUCCACGCCCUAAACGAUGUCUACUAGUUGUUGGGGGUUAACCUUAGUAACACAGCUAACGCGAGAAGUAGACCGCCUGGGGAGUACGGUCGCAAGAUUAAAACUCAAAGGAAUUGACGGGGACCCGCACAAGCGGUGGAUGAUGUGGAUUAAUUCGAUGCAACGCGAAAAACCUUACCUAGCCUUGACAUGCCAAGAAUCCUGAUGAAAGUUGGGAGUGCCCGCAAGGGAAUUUGGACACAGGUGCUGCAUGGCUGUCGU